rnacentral:snRNA from 1 species
UUUGCUUCUUAGCCUUUCGGCUAAGAUCAAAUGUAGUAUCUCUUCUCAUCGGUUUAAUAUCUAAUAUGUCCUCUCUAUGAGGACUACAUAUUAAAUUGAUUUUUAGGGCAGGGAGAUGGAAGAGGAGCUUGCUCCAUUAGGAAACCAGCCUGGCGACGAAAAGGUCCCCUGAGCCGACAGUAUGAUUGAGGUGCCCUUGAGCAAGGCACCUAAC